CCCGCACAAGCGGUGGAGUAUGUGGUUAAUUCGACGCAACGCGAAGAACCUUACCAGGGCUUGACAUCCCCUGACCGCGUAUGAAAGUACGUUUUCACCCUCGGGUGACAGGGAGACAGGUGGUGCAUGGUUGUCGUCAGCUCGUGUCGUGAGAUGUUGGGUUAAGUCCCGCAACGAGCGCAACCCCUACGUUUAGUUGCUAACGCGUGAAGGCGAGCACUCUAGACGAACUGCCGUUGACAAAACGGAGGAAGGUGGGAUGACGUCAAAUCAUCAUGCCCCUUAUGUUCUGGGCUACACACGUGCUACAAUGGCCGGUACAGACGGACGCAAAGCCGCGAGGUGGAGCAAAUCCUAAAAAGCCGGUCUCAGUUCGGAUUGCAGGCUGCAAUUCGCCUGCAUGAAGUCGGAAUCGCUAGUAAUCGCAGGUCAGCAUACUGCGGUGAAUACGUUCCCGGGCCUU
rnacentral:rRNA from 1 species